CCUACGGGUGGCAGCAGUAGGGAAUCUUCCACAAUGGGCGAAAGCCUGAUGGAGCAACGCCGCGUGGGUGAAGAAGGUCUUCGGAUCGUAAAACUCUGUUGUUAGAGAAGAACGUGCGUGAGAGUAACUGUUCACGUUUCGACGGUAUCUAACCAGAAAGCCACGGCUAACUACGUGCCAGCAGCCGCGGUAAUACGUAGGUGGCAAGCGUUAUCCGGAUUUAUUGGGCGUAAAGGGAACGCAGGCGGUCUUUUAAGUCUGAUGGGAAAGCCUUCGGCUUAACCGGAGUAGUGCAUUGGAAACUGGGAGACUUGAGUGCAGAAGAGGAGAGUGGAACUCCAUGUGUAGCGGUGAAAUGCGUAGAUAUAUGGAAGAACACCAGUGGCGAAAGCGGCUCUCUGGUCUGUAACUGACGCUGAGGUUCGAAAGCGUGGGUAGCAAACAGGAUUAGAUACCCUAGUAGUC
rnacentral:rRNA from 1 species